AUGGAUAUGCUGGUUCCUCGGGUAACAUUUAAAAUAUCUUUCUCAUUGUUCAUGAGUUCAGUUUAGUCAAUAAUUAUUACCCACAACUAAGAUCCUUAGCUUCUAGCAACCUCCAUGGACGCUCGAAAGCAAGAUGGUCUCUUUGAGAUUAAAAAUAAAAUCGUUGAUGUUAGCAUAAAAUUUGUGUACUAAACUACUAAUAUAUAACAUGAAAAGUUCAUUCUGAUUUAAAGUAGUGCCAAAGUAAUGGGAAUUUUGAUAAUAUCAUAUUGCAGAGUUCUGAAAUUAUAUUAUAAGAUUUUCUUCCAAUAUACUUGAUCCCACUUGUCCAUCCCAUUUUAAUUUUUAGUGAGAGAAAUAUGAAAUCAUUUGGGUGUAAAUUGGGGAAAAUCAACAAAUGACACAAAAACUGGUUUUAACAAAUGUGGUCUCAAAUGCAACUGCCUUGUAUAAGAAUGUUUUCAUUUUUCUUUUUGUUUGUUAGGUUGGGGAGCUUAUUGGUGGAA
rnacentral:misc_RNA from 1 species